rnacentral:rRNA from 1 species
GGAAUCUUGGACAAUGGGGGCAACCCUGAUCCAGCCAUGCCGCGUGAACGAUGAAGGCCUUAGGGUUGUAAAGUUCUUUCACCGGUGAAGAUAAUGACGGUAGCCGGAGAAGAAGCCCCGUCUCACUCCGUUCCAGCAGCCGCGGUAAAACGGCGGGGGCUAGGGUUGUUCGGAAUUACUGGUCGUAAAGCGCGCGUAGGCGGAUUGUUAAGUCGGGGGUGAAAUCCCGGGGCUCAACCCCGGAACUGCCUUCGAUACUGGCAAUCUAGAGGUCGAGAGAGGUGAGUGGAAUGGCGAGUGUAGAGGUGAAAUUCGUAGAUAUUCGCCGGAACACCAGUGGCGAAGGCGGCUCACUGGCUCGAUACUGACGCUGAGGUGCGAAAGCGUGGGGAGCAAAC